GUGGGUAUAGCUCAGCCGGUAGAGCACCUGGUUGUGGUCCAGGGGGCCGCGGGUUCAAGUCCCGUUACUCACC
rnacentral:tRNA from 1 species